rnacentral:rRNA from 1 species
AUUGAACGCUGGCGGCAUGCCUUACACAUGCAAGUCGAACGGUAACAGGGUGCUUGCACCGCUGACGAGUGGCGAACGGGUGAGUAACGCGUCGGAACGUGCCGAGUAGUGGGGGAUAACGCAUCGAAAGGUGUGCUAAUACCGCAUACGUACUGAGGUAGAAAGUGGGGGACCUUCGGGCCUCACGCUAUUCGAGCGGCCGACGUCUGAUUAGCUAGUUGGUGGGGUAAAGGCGCCCCAAGGCGACGAUCAGUAGCGGGUCUGGGAGGAUGGUCCGCCACACUGGGACUGAGACACGGCCCAGACUCCUACGGGAGGCAGCAGUGGGGAAUUUUGGACAAUGGGCGCAAGCCUGAUCCAGCCAUGCCGCGUGUCUGAAGAAGGCCUUCGGGUUGUAAAGGACUUUUGUCCGGGAGCAAAUACCCAGUGCUAAUAACGCUGGGGGCUGAGAGUACCGGAAGAAUAAGCACCGGCUAACUACGUGACAGCAGCCGCCGUGAGAC